rnacentral:rRNA from 1 species
AUUGAACGCUGGCGGCAUGCCUUACACAUGCAAGUCGAACGGCAGCACGGGAGCAAUCCUGGUGGCGAGUGGCGAACGGGUGAGUAAUAUAUCGGAACGUGCCCAGUAGUGGGGGAUAACUGCUCGAAAGAGCAGCUAAUACCGCAUACUACCUGAGGGUGAAAGGGGGGGAUCGCAAGACCUCUCGCUAUUGGAGCGGCCGAUAUCAGAGUAGCUAGUUGGUGGGGUAAGGGCCUACCAAGGCAACGAUCUGUAGUUGGUCUGAGAGGACGACCAGCCACACUGGGACUGAGACACGGCCCAGACUCCUACGGGAGGCAGCAGUGGGGAAUUUUGGACAAUGGGCGCAAGCCUGAUCCAGCAAUGCCGCGUGCAGGAAGAAGGCCUUCGGGUUGUAAACUGCUUUUGUCAGGGAAGAAAUCCUCUAGGUUAAUACCCUUGGGGGGAUGACGGUACCUGAAGAAUAAGCACCGGCUAACUACGUGCCAGCCGCCGCAGUAAAAC